rnacentral:rRNA from 1 species
UGGAGCAUGUGGUUUAAUUCGAAGCAACGCGCAGAACCUUACCAGCUCUUGACAUGGACGUGACCGGCCCAGAGAUGGGUUUUCCCCGCAAGGGGCACGUCGCACAGGUGCUGCAUGGCUGUCGUCAGCUCGUGUCGUGAGAUGUUGGGUUAAGUCCCGCAACGAGCGCAACCCUCGCCUCCAGUUGCCAGCGAGUUAUGUCGGGCACUCUGGAGGAACUGCCGGUGACAAGCCGGAGGAAGGUGGGGAUGACGUCAAGUCCUCAUGGCCCUUAUGGGCUGGGCUACACACGUGCUACAAUGGCGGUGACAGUGGGAUGCUAGGCCGCGAGGUCAUGCCGAUCCCAAAAAGCCGUCUCAGUUCAGAUUGCACUCUGCAACUCGGGUGGAUGAAGGCGGAAUCGCUAGUAAUCGCGCAUGAGCAUGGCG